rnacentral:rRNA from 1 species
AACGUAGGUGGCGAGCGUUAUCCGGAUUUACUGGGCGUAAAGCGUGUGCAGGCGGGGUGACAAGUGGUGUAUGAAAUCUCCGGGCUAAACCUGGAGGGGUUAUGCCAGACUGUCAUUCUAGAGUGCGAGAGAGGGGCGUGGAAUUCCGGGUGUAGUGGUGAAAUGCGUAGAGAUGUGGAGGAAUACCGAUGGCGAAGGCAGCCCCCUGGGCCAAUAC